GUACAUGCUACCUAGCAUGUUUGGUCUAUCUCUGAAGGGCAAGAAAUAAUGACAGGAGAAAGUUAAAGGAGUGUUGAUCCCCGAGAAAGACUUAAGAGGGGGUUUUUUUGGUACCAGGGAUCGAAUUCGGGACCUUGCACUUGUGAGGCAGGUGGUGGAACCACUGAACUACAUCCCAGGCCCUACAUUUGGCUUUUAAAUAAAAUAUGACGUUUUUAGCCCAUUGUUGGCCAGUUCCAAUGCAGGAAAGCAUGGAAGAAGGGUCUGGGAGAGGAAAGUUCAUCACCGCAUGGUGGCCAGGAAGCAGAGCAUGAAGGGAGGAGCCCAGAAGGAAGACACACCCUUCCAGGCCAAGGCCCACCUCUUCCAACCAGAUGCCACCUCCUACCACCAAGUCAGCCUUAAGCGCCCAUGGCCUAAUCCUCUUCCAACGUCCUGCCUGUGAGGACCUGAGGUCUUUGGGGGACAUUCUCCACAUAAACCAUGGCAGUGCUUAGAAGCACAAGAUCCAGAAAACACAUGGAGCUCUCCUGGCAUGGUGUGCUAGUCAGUUAGAGUAGGUAGAGUUGAAUAGAGAGGGAGAGAUAAAAUGUGAUUUAUGCAAAAGUAAAGGUCCAAUAGCAGAACGAAAUUACAUUAACAUGGUGAGAAAAAGGUGACUUGUGAAAACUCUAAGGUCACAAUGAUUAAAGAACACCAAAGAAGAGAUUCACCUCAUUUGGGCUACAUUUCUCUUGUAUAAUUGGUAGUAUAAUUGACAAGUAUUUCAUGAUCUCAGGUCUUCAGUAAAGGCUUUGGAGAAGGUUUGGAGAUAAUGAAAAAUGCAAUAUGAGGUUUUUAGUGAGGAAAGGGUUGGGGAGGAAAAGGCAAAAGGAAGAGAGAACACAUCUGCACUGAAUGAAGCUGUGAUAUCACAUUAGAAACAUAGAGAGUGGAAGACACAGAUCCUCAGAAGCAAAUUCUCCACAAAAACUUAAAUCCCUGUAAACUUGACAAGAUUUUGGAGAUUUCUCAUUGAACAUGGUGCACAGGGUCAGUGGUUUUGUUCUGCUUUGGGAUAUCAAGGAGCCUUCUGACAUGUAGGGUACGGAAUAUUUAUAUUAUAUAUUGUUAGAGUUGAAAAGAUAAAGCUAUCUAAAAGUAAAAUGAAAAAAUAUUUAAAAGUUUGAUCAAAUAAAGCAACUAUCACAUUAAAUGUGUGUAGAUAAACUUAGUAUUAAUGACACAAAGACACUUUAUGUUAGGAUGUAGCAGGUCCCAGCUGCAAAAUGUUCUCACUGCACUAAAAAUACCCUGAAUUCAAAAAUUAUAUUUUUAAAGGCAGGUAAAUUUGUGACUACAUGAGUUGGGAUUCUGUUUUCUUGGCUGGAUUCAUUUGCCAAUUUGUCAUAAAGAAGCCAAUUAUAUGCUGUUUACAAGAGUCACAUUUAAAAUACUGUUUAUGAGAGACUUUAUAUAUAAGGACACAGGAAGAUGGAAAAAUAAAAGGAAGAAAAAAGAUGUGAUAUUCACAUCUUAACCAAGAGAUAGCUGUGUAGCUAUAAUAAUAUCAAACAAUAGGAUUUAAGACAAAAUUGGUAAUUUAGUGCAAGAAAUAUUAAUGAUGAAGGAGCCAAUUCAUCAAGACAUAAUCAUUUUAAAUUUAUAUAUACCUGACAACAUAGUUAAAAUAUAUAACAUCAAAGGUUGACAGACCUAGAAGUAGGAAUUGAUAAUCUACAAUAAUAGCUGGAGACUAUAAUAUGUCAGUCUAAAUAUUUGAUAAUAGUCAAUGCUAAUCAACAAAAAAAUUAACAAAAACAUGGAAUAUCUGAACCUAAUUUACACAUACAGAACCUCACAUCCAACCACUGCAGAACACACACUCUUUUCAAGUUUUCAGGAAAAACAUUUGCCAAAAUAUACUGUAUGUUGGAUCAGAGUCAGUCUCAAAAAAUUGCGAAGGAAUAAGAAUAUAUAGAAAAUGUAUGAAGAUACAUUUCUCUUUCAGCAUAGUCAAAUUAAACCUGAAAUCAAUAACAGGAAGAGAAAUAGAAAAAUCCUCAGAAUUAAGCAAAAAUAAUCCACAGUAGUAGAAUUAGAAUGAUGUCUCUAGGGGAGGAUGACAAGGAGGGCAUGGUAGACAUAAAGAGGCUCUGUGGAGAUUUUCCCAGAGAGACAUUGUCAGCAAAAAGCCUUCAGCUACUAGUUGCUUCCAGGAUUCAGCAACAGCAGCAGCAGCAGCAGCAGCAGCAGCAGAGCUGCCUCACCAGGGCCACAUCUCCCCAGAAGAAAUCUGCAUCCCAGAGCCAAUGUGUGCAAGGUACAAGGCAGAGGGCUGGCCCUGUGAGCUGAUGCAGGCCCAGCUGGACCUUACUCUUCAGAGAUUCCUGGGGUGUGGCUGAGGCCAUGAGCCUGGACCACACUUUCAUAUCUUCCUUCUACCAGUCCUGCAUCCUUCCCUCUGUUCCAUGGGC
ensembl:lncRNA